rnacentral:lncRNA from 1 species
UCUGUGCUGGCAUCUGAACAAUGGCCAAGCAGCAGUUAGGGAGAAGAGGCUGUUUACUUGAGUUCAAACUAUUUAUAGCCCAGCAAUCUGCACAUAUUUGGAUGACAAAUCUCUGGGCUUCAAGUAAGUGGUGCUUUGCUCCUGGACAAUUUCAUCAAACACACUCCCUCCCCACGCCACCCCCAGUCCCCCUCACUAACACAUGUUGCCCUCAGGAUGUUUUAUUUAAGUUGCUGAAUUUUAAAAGAUUAUAAAAAGAAACCACAUUUUAAGAGCAAGUGACUUUUAAUCCAUUUA